UGCGGGCCGGCCCUCGGGCUCAGGCCGCCCGAUCCUUCUGGGACCCGAACCCGCAAAUCCUGGCUCCCUCUCCCCAAGCCCGCAGACUCCCCAGAGCCCGCCGCGCACUAACACCAUCUCCUCCGCUCCAGACCGGGCGGUGAAGCGGGUGCCCGUCGGCGGCCGAGGGGCGAUCUCAUCGCUGGUCGUCCCCCCGCCCCCGUCCUCCAGGGAAAUGACCCUGGGCUCCCACGCACCCUCUCGGGUCUCUCCCGGCCUUGCCCUCCGACCUCCGCCUAGUAGGACCCUCUGCCCUUCAGCCCCCGCCCUCUCCGGGCCUCUCGCGGCCCCGCGCCCGCGGACAAAGCUCUGGACAUCGGACCGCACAGUCGCCACCCCCCUGACCCCCGCCGGCCCGCGCGCUCCCGCGCCUGCCCCCUCCCUGGCCUGCGACGCGUACCUCGGCAUCCCGGCCGGGUCCUAGGUCGUGCUUCGGGGCUCUGCCGCCACCCUUUCUGGAACUUCCUUUCCUUCCGGGUGGCAGUUCAGCAGGAACGUGCAUAGGACACGACACACGCUGGAGGGGCUUCCUCUAACCGGCACAACAGGCCUCUGACCUCCAAGUCUGGUAGAAUUCUAAAGACUAUCUCUUCAUAUGUGAUCACGUUUCCGGAGUCUCAAGGAUCCCACAGACCCAGGACAUCUCCGAGGCCAGAGAGAAGAGAUUUUUUUGGGAGCACUGAGAAAAACCUGAUCUGGAGUCCCUGCACCCCUGAUCUCUGUACCCCCAGCCCUUGCAGGCGCCCAUGAGGGCCAAUGUCUACCGGAGCCGAGCAGAGAUACCUCGGUCAUCCGGAAUUGCGCCAGGAUGCUAAGACUGGCUGGCCUAGCUGAUGGGUGGCCCUGGUUCUAAGAAGAGGUGGUGCCUUUUGAGGCACCAGCUUAAAGGAAUGUUAAUGUCUGCCUAGAGACAAAGCCUUCCAGUGUCAGGAUCUCAGGAGAGCGUCCUCACGCCUCAUCGGGUGCACGCUGCAGAAGCCUUCGCGAGGCCCCACAGGCCAGCCCAGCAACUUGGCCUAUCAGGUACCUCUGAUUCUUAGGUGGUUAUGGGUCAUAAUAAGGGCUUUAGUUAGCAGGUGAGCGGAGCCUAGUCACGCCCCCUUCACUUACACCCUGUCCAGUGCCCAGGCAAUGAAGUAUCACUUUCCUUCCCCGAGCUCAUUAAGGUCCUGUUAAUACAUCACCUCAAAGCUGACACACACUCAGUCUUUGCAAAUGGCCUUUCAUCAUAUCUCCAUUCUUGGACUUUCUGGGGGGCUAAUCUCUGAGGGCUCCUGUUUGACCCCUCUCCUAUCUGCCCUCAGGCAAGGAGAUCUGUGCCCUGCAAGGCCCCUGCUGAGGUCACUGGGAGCCUCCCAGGGCAGGUCAAUUGCCCACAGUGGAUUGGAUAAUAAUAGUGGUAACGACAGCUAAAGCUCCGCUCUUUCAGACCCUCCACCCUUUGCAGCCAUUUGGUUUCCAUCACUUCCAGCACAGAGUACCUACCCACUGCCACCCACCCCAGGAACAGGGGCUACGCUUGGUGUGUGGCUAGGUACUAACAACUGCGUGUGAGUCUGUGUGCAUGGCUGAAAGAGCUCGUGUAUACAGGAGUGGGUGGGUACAUCUUGGCCCAGAGAUGUGUGUCAGUGCUUUCCAACACCAUGCAGAAUGCCUCCCACCCACUGGAAGGCCUUCAGAGAGAAGCAGGAGGGCCAGGCCCAGGGAACCCAGGAGCAGGUGGGGCAAGGAAAGAAAGCAGAGGCCCCAGGGAAGGAUGGGUGGAAGCAGGAAGAAAUGGAAAGGAGGAAGCGGAAAGGGCGGGAGCUCUCUUUCUCCUAGGGCUUCUGCUGGCCCCUCAGGAGUCACUGUGGGCAGGACAGGAAGGAAGCCUGUCCUGGCCGGGAGGACAGGGAGUGUGCCCAGAGGACACCACACCCCACCAGCUGCUGCCCGGACUUGCCGCCGGUUGGGCUCAGGCUGCUCUGGCUACAAAUGUUAAGUGCCAGUCUUUUGGGAUUUGGGGUUCAGCCUUGAAGGCCCAGCUGACAAAGUCACCUCCAUCGCCAAAGCCCUGCUGCCCAUGCCCCACCCUCAAGACCCUCCCAGCCAUGCCUUACCCCACUGCUGUUUUUAAACUUAAACCAGUGCCCCUCCUACCAGCCCCCCUUCAAACUGGGGCUAAGCCGGCAUCCCCUGGGAAUUAGAAAAUGCACUCUUUACUUUCUGAUAACUCUGUCGGGCCGUUGGAGAGGAGUUCCUAUUUCACCUCCACAUGCCUAACUCAGGGGAACCCUAGAACCCCACACUCAGAAUGCUCAACUUGAGUACAGCUGUUGCUGUGUAGACGGAGGUCCCCCCAUCCUACAGCACAGCUGUUGCUGUGUAGACGGAGGUCCCCCAUCCUAGAGCACAGCUGUUGCUGUGUAGACGGAGGUUCCCCCCAUCCUACAGCACAGCUGUUGCUGUGUAGACGGAGGUCCCCCCCAUCCUAGAGCACAGCUGUUGCUGUGUAGACGGAGGUCCCCCAUCCUACAGCACAGCUGUUGCUGUGUAGAUGAAGGUCCCCCCAUCCUAGAGCACAGCUGUUGCUGUGUAGACGGAGGUCCCCCCAUCCUACAGCACAGCUGUUGCUGUGUAGACGGAGGUCCCCCCAUCCUACAGCACAGCUGUUGCUGUGUAGACGGAGGUCCCCCAUCCUACAGCACAGCUGUUGCUGUGUAGACGGAGGUCCCCCCAUCCUACAGCACAGCUGUUGCUGUGUAGACGGAGGUCCCCCAUCCUACAGCACAGCUGUUGCUGUGUAGACGGAGGUCCCCCCAUCCUAGAGCACAGCUGUUGCUGUGUAGACGGAGGUCCCCCAUCCUACAGCACAGCUGUUGCUGUGUAGACGGAGGUCCCCCCGUCCUACAGCACAGCUGUUGCUGUGUAGACGGAGGUCCCCCCGUCCUACAGCACAGCUGUUGCUGUGUAGACGGAGGUCCCCCCGUCCUAGAGCACAGCUGUUGCUGUGUAGACGGAGGUCCCCCCAUCCUAGAGCACAGCUGUUGCUGUGUAGACGGAGGUCCCCCAUCCUACAGCACAGCUGUUGCUGUGUAGACAGAGGUCCCCCAUCCUACAGCACAGCUGUUGCACCAGCAGCUUGAAUUGACCCCACUUUGUGUCUCUAGUCCCACAGAACUCAGCAACAUCCACGUUAUUUGAACACUUCCAGAUCUGAGCAUAGAAUCUUAUUUUCCUACUCCUAUUCAACCUUCAGAACCCAACAUAGAUGAGCAUGUGAAACCCUGUGGUUAGUAACUCCAAACCAGCCCUCCUCUAAGGUCUUUUCCUGGAAAGUUGUACACACUGAGUCAGAUCUCUGCUUUCACGAGCGUCCCUCUCACUCCCCCAUCCCUAC